CGCGUCCACUUGUACCAGCAGCGCAGCGGUGGCGCCGUGUGUCACGGGGACGCGCACAACCGUCACCUUUUCGGGGUCGCUCUCAGCUUUUGAGGCGGCAGAGAUGGCAACGGUGCCAUCGGACCAAAACCCCAAGCAGCGGCACUACUUGAAACUUCCGGAAGUUCAUUACAAAUGCACCGCCAGCGAGGGUUCAGAAGUGCUGCAGAAUCGGCGUGACGAUAUUCAUCUACUGCGUAAAUUUUGGCGGACAAGGAGAGGCGAGCUUCCUGCUGCCUUUGCUGGGGCCCGACAGGGGUGAGGACCUCAGGAGGAGGCGGACAGCUGUGCUGUUUAGAGUGUGGGGGCAGAAGGAGCAUCCCUGUCCCGCUGAGAUAUAAAGGUCUCCAGCCCCCCCCAACAUGUUUCUAGAGUGACUGCAGUUCCCUGCUGAUCUCACCCCCUUUUCUGUGGUAUUUAUGUUUAACUUUUUUUAACUCGCAAAAUGCA